AGGGGACUAAAGCUAAACAUAAUCUGGUUCAAUCCCCAGCUGAUGUAAAUCAUUCCAGCUCUCCUGGAAGUUGCUGGAUGUGCACCCAGUUCGGGAUGGCUUUCUGCAGGAAUGGGAGGAGGGGAACAAAACGGAGCCUCCCGUGGGUGAUGUCUGCUGGAAAUCCAUCGCAGCCGUCGGUCGGAGGGAUUGGCUGCCAGAGCUAAAGCCACCGCAGCAGUUUGACGGACUGGCUAUCCCAGCCCUUCCCCACAAGUUGAG
ensembl:lncRNA